GAAUGAUUUGCAGGCUCCCGAGGUGCUCUGUUUUUUAUUAGGACGUCCUGAUGUGUUCGAGGGUGAGGAGGAGCUCCACUCCUUCAGUCAGUGCCUGGAGGUAUUGAAGAAACGACUUGAUGACAAGAGUGACAGGACCGGGAGGCUCUUGAUGGACCCUGUGAGGAGUCCGUGUUUUCUGCCCUGAAUUCUUUCCGCCCAACAGAGCGCCACAUUAGACGGCUGCAGCCAUCUGCAGGACAUCAACUUACAGUCUUUUCCCACCAGUCUUCACCAGACCUUCAGCUCUCUGAUGCUUACGCUGCUGGUGACGUCCCACAGACUCGUUUGUGUUUAGAAAACGGAGGAGAAAC